AGCGAACGCUGGCGGCAGGCCUAACACAUGCAAGUCGAACGAAGCCUUCGGGCUUAGUGGCGGACGGGUGAGUAACACGUGGGAACGUACCUUUUGGUUCGGAACAACUCAGGGAAACUUGAGCUAAUACCGGAUGAGCCCUUAGGGGAAAGAUUUAUCGCCGAAAGAGCGGCCCGCGUUAGAUUAGCUAGUUGGUGAGGUAAAGGCUCACCAAGGCAACGAUCUAUAGCUGGUCUGAGAGGAUGAUCAGCCACACUGGGACUGAGACACGGCCCAGACUCCUACGGGAGGCAGCGGUGGGGAAUCUUGCGCAAUGGGCGAAAGCCUGACGCAGCCAUGCCGCGUGAAUGAUGAAGGUCUUAGGAUUGUAAAAUUCUUUUACCAGGGACGAUAAUGACGGUACCUGGAGAAAAAGCCCCGGCUAACUUCGUGCCAGCAGCCGCCGUAA
rnacentral:rRNA from 1 species